rnacentral:rRNA from 1 species
AUUGAACGCUGGCGGCAGGCUUAACACAUGCAAGUCGAGCGAGCGGCGGACGGGUGAGUAAUGUCUGGGAAACUGCCUGAUGGCGGGGGAUAACUACUGGAAACGGUAGCUAAUACCGCAUACCAUCAGAUGGGCCGAGAUGGGAUUAGCUAGUAGGUGGGGUAAAGGCUCACCUAGGCGACGAUCCCUAGCUGGUCUGAGAGGAUGACCAGCCACACUGGGACUGAGAAACGGCCCAGACUCCUACGGGAGGCAGCAGUGGGGAAUAUUGCACAAUGGGGGAAAGCCUGAUCCAGCCAUGCCGCGUGUGUGAAGAAGGCCUUCGGGUUGUAAAGUACUUUCAGCGAGGAGGCGUUACUCGCAGAAGAAGCACCGGCUAACUCCGUGCCAGCCGCCGCGGUAAUAC